rnacentral:tRNA from 1 species
GUCUUCUUAGCUCAAUAGGCAGUGUGUCAGUCUCAUAAUCUAAAGGUUGUGAGUUUGAGCCUCAGAGAGGACA